GUAGUAUUUGAUCAUAGUACUAAAAUUUAAGUUUGGGUUGGUGCACAUAGUAUUAUAUUGAGUUAAGGGGCUAGUGUCCCACCCUUAGUGCAAAGAAUUGAGCAAUUUGAGAAAUCUAGACUCAGUGGCUUGAGAGGUAAGUGGCUAAUUUGGAUGCCAGCAGCUGCGGUUAUAUCCUUACUUAUUUGAAUUUUAACGGUUUUGUUAGAUGCAAAAAAGAAAAGCUUUCUGCAGGCACCUUCAAGUGGUUAAAUGCGAUGGAGUGUUUUGGAGUGGUUGAGAGUUAAAAUGUUUCUUACUUAGGUGCGGACGAAAACCGGGAUUUGGUACUCCGUUAUUCGUGAGGUAAAAUUGUUUUACCAGAUGACUAUAAGUUGAAUCUUAAAAGUUAAAUGAUUAGGCGGUCUCUAAAAAACAAACAGGGGAAUCUGGGGGUUAAAAGAUGUUCCACUUUAAUUUGUUCCUUGGCUUAAGUAUGCAUAUGUAUGGUUGUUUAGGUAAUCGAUAUAUGAGAAGUAUUGGUCUAAUUUUUCAGGUUGAAGGAGGAAUUCAGAUUAACAUGUAGCUAUGCUAAGGCUUUCCUGGAUGACAGUUGAAAUUUCCACGUCGAAAGAGGAUAAUAAAUUGUAAUCUUGAAGGCGGACUUGUAAGUAAAAUUCUCUUAUAUUGUGAUUUUGAAAUGAGACGUAGAGGAGUACUAAUCGCCCGUCGCUCGCGGAGGAAUCUGAGAUAAGUCGUAACAAGGUAACAGUACCGGAAGGUGCUGUUAAAUCAGU
rnacentral:ncRNA from 1 species